UUCAUGUGUCAUCGGACUGAGAAAGAAUGUGUGUGUGAGAGAGAGAGAGAUGAACUGAAAUGUGACUCAGCACUAUUGUGACCUCCAACAGGACAGCACACAUUCUGAUGAUGACACAGUCAUGCGUGUGCGAGGGUUUAUGCGUGUGGUGUUUUCCAGCCUAUCAAGCAGUCCAGAAAGUACAUUGACUAAGCCAUCAUAUACGGCCUGAAUAUGCUGAGGAAUCUGUCCCUGCAGGAUGCAGAAAAGGUCUUCAUCUCUGGACCAGUUUAUCAUCGGAGUGAAGUGGAGGAGUUUGAUAGGGGGAUAUCUAAACAAUUGUGCACAAAAGGGAGACCAUUCAACUAGAUGAAGUUGUAUGGAGUUCGAUAUGGAGGUCUAGAUGGAGUGAUAUGGAGGGGGGAUGGAGUGAUAUGGAGGGGUGAUUGUCAUUGUUUGACAAUUGUUCAAAAUAAACAAUGUAUAUCUUGA